CAGCCGCCGCGGUAAUACAGAGGGUGCGAGCGUUAAUCGGAUUUACUGGGCGUAAAGCGUGCGUAGGCGGCUUCUUAAGUCGGAUGUGAAAUCCCUGAGCUUAACUUAGGAAUUGCAUUCGAUACUGGGAAGCUAGAGUAUGGGAGAGGAUGGUAGAAUUCCAGGUGUAGCGGUGAAAUGCGUAGAGAUCUGGAGGAAUACCGAUGGCGAAGGCAGCCAUCUGGCCUAAUACUGACGCUGGGGUACGAAAGCAUGGGGAGCAAACAGGAUUAGAGACCCCCGUAGUCCCUGUCUCUUAUAC
rnacentral:rRNA from 1 species